GCUUACGGCCACACCACCCUGAGCACGCCCGCUCUCGUCUGAUCUCGGAAGCCAAGCAGGGUCGUGCCUGGUUAGUACUUGGUUGGGAGACCGCCUGGGAAUACCAGGUGCUGUAAGCAU
rnacentral:rRNA from 1 species